AGGUGGAGCUGCAGGUGCCCGACGACGUCUACAUCCUCGACCAGGCCGAGGAGGAGGGGAUCGACCUGCCCUACUCCUGCCGCGCGGGGUCCUGCUCCUCCUGCGCCGGCAAGGUCGUCUCCGGCUCCGUCGACCAGUCCGACCAGAGCUUCCUCGACGACGACCAGGUCGCCAGCGGCUGGGUGCUCACCUGCCACGCCUACCCCACCUCCGACGUCGUCAUCGAGACCCACAAGGAGGAGGAGCUCACCGCUUAAUUAUAUUUAUAUAUUUAAGCUCCAUCGUCACCAUGCAUCACAUCAACACACCUAAAUGCUACUAUCUAGUAUCUGCCUGCCUUGCAAGAGAUCGAUCCAUCUCCAUCGAGUUGACAGAUUAAAACCUGAGAAAUUUCUAGCUUCCUUGUAUCAUCCAUCCAUCAGUCAUGUCAAUGUCACCAUGAGACCAAGCAAGCAUCGGCAGCAGCAGGGCCAUCUGUUACCGUACAUUCUUGGUCUCUGUACCAUUCAUUUUUGCUGCGGAUGCAUGAUCGACUUCAUUCUCAUCAAGUAAUUAAUUAAUAAUGUUUUUUUCUCUUUGUACCAUUAUCAAUAUAUACUGUACUAUGGAUCUGUUUGGACGAGUUAAAUUUUAGCAUCCGCUAUCAGCACUCAUCGUAUCUUUGCUAAAAGUUUUGAGUUUUGACUAAAAUUCAGCCCAUCCCACUAGCCAGUACUUGUGUUUGGAUGGACUAGUACUAAACUUUAGUACUUUUGAGCAUUAGCACAUGGAUCCAACACCCUCUGUAUGUGUACGUAUGUAUGUACCAGACUGGAGGAUGUAUUACAGAAAUGCAUGCAGCUUUGAGUACUCCUAUGUGCGUAAUUGACGAUGCAUGGAUGAAUGAAGAUUGAAGCAUAAGUUUAAUCCAAUGCGUAUUUCUUUUCCUGCAGUUAAGCUCUCACCGGUUGCUAUUUGUGCUAUAUAUG
rnacentral:lncRNA from 1 species